rnacentral:rRNA from 1 species
UACAGAGGUCUCGAGCGUUGUUCGGAUUCAUUGGGCGUAAAGGGCGCGUAGGCGGCGGGGUAAGUCUGGUGUGAAAUCUCGGAGCUCAACUCCGAAAUUGCACUGGAUACUGCUCUGCUAGAGGGCUGGAGAGGAGAUCGGAAUUCACGGUGUAGCAGUGAAAUGCGUAGAUAUCGUGAGGAAGACCAGUGGCGAAGGCGGAUCUCUGGACAGCUCCUGACGCUGAGGCGCGAAGGCUAGGGGGGCAAACAGG